UGGGGGAUAUUGCACAAUGGGCGAAAGCCUGAUGCAGCGACGCCGCGUGGGGGAUGAAGGCUUUCGGGUUGUAAACCUCUUUCGCUAUCGAACAAGGCCCGCUUAGGGUGGGUUGAGGGUAGGUGGAGAAGAAGCGCCGGCUAACUACGUGCCAGCAGCCGCGGUAAUACGUAGGGCGCGAGCGUUGUCCGGAAUUAUUGGGCGUAAAGGCUUGUAGGCGGCUUGUUGCGCCUGCUGUGAAAACGCGGGGCUUAACUUCGCGCGUGCAGUGGGUACGGGCAGGCUUGAGUGUGGUAGGGGUGACUGGAAUUCCAGGUGUAGCGGUGGAAUGCGCAGAUAUCUGGAGGAACACCGAUGGCGAAGGCAGGUCACUGGGCCAUUACUGACGCUGAGGAGCGAAAGCAUGGGUAGCGAACAGG
rnacentral:rRNA from 1 species